UGAGACAGUUCGGUCCCUAUCUGCUGCUUCAGGAAAAAGAUAAGUAGUGAACAUAUAUAUCGUACGAAAGGAUUUAUGAUGUGCGGGCCUAUGGUAAUCGUAUUGUUAACAGCAUGUGCGGUAGCUAAGCCCGUUUCAGUAACUUCUGAUUACAACAAGGGAAGGAACUGAACAUUACG
rnacentral:rRNA from 15 species